rnacentral:rRNA from 1 species
CGUGUAGGCGGGUCGGCGCGUCCGAUGCUGAAAUCCCCCGGCUCAACCGGGGAAGCGGCGCGGAUACGGCCGGCCUGGAGGGACGUAGGGGGACCUGGAACUUCCGGUGGAGCGGUGAAAUGCGUUGAGAUCGGAAGGAACGCCCGUGGCGAAAGCGAGGUCCUGGACGUUUUCUGACGCUGAGACGCGAAAGCCAGGGGAGCGAACG